rnacentral:rRNA from 1 species
AAAGCGUGUGUAGGCGGCUAUGUAAGUCGGAUGUGAAAGCCCUGGGCUCAACCCAGGAAGUGCACUCGAUACUGCGUAGCUUGAGUACCGGAGAGGUUGGUAGAAUUCUCGGUGUAGAGGUGAAAUUCGUAGAUAUCGAGAGGAAUACCGGUGGCGAAGGCGGCCAACUGGACGAGUACUGACGCUGAGACACGAAAGCGUGGGGAGCAAACAGGAUUAGAUACCCUUGU